UCUUCAUUGGCUCAGAGGUUAAAGCGUCUGCCUGCAAUGUGGGAGACCUGGGUUCGAUCCCUGGGUUGGGAA
rnacentral:tRNA from 1 species